CAAAGCCGUACAACAAGCUGUGUCGUAGUUUGAGUAACCAAUCGACUUCCGCCGACUUCCGCUCUGUUUGAGAAAUGAAUAUUUCAACUAUAUUUUUCUCGCAGGAUCACAGGAUGUUCGAUUCCCUCCUUAUCGCUCUUAACCGCAAUUCAGAUUUCCUGAAGAGCAAACAGUCAAGGCAUUCACGACAAUCAACGCCUUACACAUUUCUCUUGACGGACUUUGGAGUUAUGCACGCACUUACUAAGCAAGUCGCAACUUUUCACUUCAAAUCGUUUAACUCCUACACCAAGUGGUUGAAUUAUUAUUCAUUAUUGCGUCGAUCCCCGUUAUUGAACAAGUUCCCCGCGAUGAGUAACAGCCAAUUUCAGUCAAAGUUAGGGAUCUGUUUGCUAUUGGCAAUUUGUUGGAAUUGGAGGAUUUCUUGCGCAGCACAAGAUCAAGUUGGACUGCACCACUCGGAAGGGACAACUGGAUCAGGGAAAGGCAUGCCAUCAAAUGACGAUUUGAUCGACUAUGACUUUGACAAUCCGGAAGAUUACCGGGAAAUUGAUUACGACAGCAGCCACAACCCAAUCCUGGGGAUGGUGCGAAGCUCUUCUUCACACCCGAUAUCGUUAAGCUUUUCCUGUUUGUCAUCACUGAUCGUCAUUUUUCUUCAUUACCUCUUUUAAAAAACAAUUCAAUGAAUCAUGAAUGUCGGAUGAAUGUGACCAUAUUUUGCUAUACUACAAAUACAAGUACAUAACUGAGUCAAAA